ensembl:snRNA U6 U6 spliceosomal RNA
GUGCUUGCUUCAGCAACACAUAUCUAAAAAUCGGAACGAUACAGAGAAGAUCAGCGUGCCCCUGAGCAAGGAUGACAGGCAAAUUCAUGAAGUGUUCCAUAUUUUU